rnacentral:rRNA from 1 species
ACGGAGGGUGCAAGCGUUAAUCGGAAUUACUGGGCGUAAAGCGAGUGUAGGCGGCAACGUAAGUCGGAUGUGAAAUCCCCGGGCUCAACCUGGGAAUUGCAUUCGAUACUGCGUAGCUAGAAUCUGACAGAGGGAUGUGGAAUUCCGGGUGUAGCGGUGAAAUGCGUAGAUAUCCGGAGGAACACCAGUGGCGAAGGCGGCAUCCUGGGUCAAGAUUGACGCUGAGGCUCGAAAGCGUGGGGAGCAAACAGG